rnacentral:rRNA from 1 species
AGCUGUGACGUUACUCGCAGAAGAAGCACCGGCUAAUUUAGUGCCAGCAGCCGCGGUAAUACUAAAGGUGCAAGCGUUAAUCGGAAUUACUGGGCGUAAAGCGCGCGUAGGUGGUUUGUUAAGUUGGAUGUGAAAGCCCAGGGCUCAACCUUGGAACUGCAUUCAAAACUGACUCACUAGAGUACGAGAGAGGUUAGUGGAAUUUCCUGUGUAGCGGUGAAAUGCGUAGAGAUGGGAAGGAACACCAGUGGCGAAGGCGACUGACUGGCUCGAUACUGACACUGAGGUGCGAAAGCGUGGGGAGCAAACGGGAUUAGAUACCCCGGUAGUCCACGCCGUAAACGAUGUCUACUAGCCGUUGGAGGACUUGUUCCUUUAGUGGCGAAGCUAACGCGAUAAGUAGACCGCCUGGGGAGUACGGUCGCAAGAUUAAAACUCAAAUGAAUUGACGGGGGCCCGCACAAGCGGUGGAGCAUGUGGUUUAAUUCGAAGCAACGCGAAGAACCUUACCUACUCUUGACAUCCAGUGAACUUAGCAGAGAUGCUUUGGUGCCUUCGGGAACACUGAGACAGGUGCUGCAUGGCUGUCGUCAGCUCGUGUUGUGAAAUGUUGGGUUAAGUCCCGUAACGAGCGCAACCCUUGUCCUUAGUUACCAUCAUUCAGUUGGGG